AUUGAACGCUGGCGGCAGGCCUAACACAUGCAAGUCGAACGGAGUGGCUGACGGGUGAGUAAUGUCUGGGAAACUGCCUGAUGGAGGGGGAUAACUACUGGAAACGGUCGCUAAUACCGCAUACUAUCAGAUGAGCCUAGGUCGGAUUAGCUUGUUGGUGGGGUAAAGGCCUACCAAGGCGACGAUCCGUAACUGGUCUGAGAGGACGAUCAGUCACACUGGAACUGAGACACGGUCCAGAAUCCUACGGGAGGCAGCAGUGGGGAAUAUUGGACAAUGGGCGCAAGCCUGAUCCAGCCAUGCCGCGUGUGUGAAGAAGGUCUUCGGAUUGUAAAGUACUUUCAGUUGGGAGGCGUUACCCGCAGAAUAAGCACCGGCUAACUUCGUGCCAGCCGCCGCGGUAAUUC
rnacentral:rRNA from 1 species